rnacentral:tRNA from 1 species
CCGAGAGGUUUAAAAAGACCUGCUAACUCUUUAAUCUGGCAAACACACCAGCCCUCUCUUCUAUCAAAGGAGANUAGUU